GGGGGAGGAUGAGACCUACCGCGCGACGCCAACCCAAGGACUCUUUCCUUCCUCCACCGCCACCCACUCCAGUCGAUUUCCACCGCCGCCAGUACCCCUCCCGCGACUCCGAUUGCACAGAUUGCUAUCUAUCCAAUGGAUCUUGUCAAAACUAGGUUACAGACUUGUGCUUCUGAUGGUGGAAGGGUUCCUAAAAUUAGUACUCUUACAAAGGAUAUAUGGGUCCAUGAGGGACCUCGGGCUUUCUACAGAGGGCUUGUUCCAUCUCUUCUGGGUAUAAUUCCCUAUGCAGGGAUUGAUCUAACUGUAUAUGACACCUUGAAAGAUAUAUCCAAGAGAUAUAUUCUUCAUGACAGUGAAAGUGGAUUCUGAAAGGCUGAUGCUGGGAUCGGCGAUGGGGGUCCUUUUCUCCUUGCCCGUCAGCUCCCGUUCCUGAUACAAGCAAAAGGGUGAUCGAAAAAUGAAAAAUUUAGAAGAGUGAAGAAAUAUAGAAAGAGAGAGAGAGAGGGAGAACCUGUUUGGUUUGGGUGAGAGGCCAUUGAGAUGGUGGAAGAAGGAACAGAGGAGAGUGUGGAAGUGAAGGGAGUAAGAGGAAGAUGGUUUUGGAUUGUUAUGAUUUCAAGAUAUUGAGAAUCUUAAAGGAAAGGAAGAUGGGUGGAAGGAAAGUGGAGAAACAGACUCAGAAACACGAAACUUUAGAGAAACACACGCAUUCGGAGGAAGACAGUUUGGACUUUUGACACGUAAUCAAUAAGUACUGUCACAUCAUCAGCCUACUAACUCCGUUUCUUUCUAUUUAACGGAAGGGAUUCAUUAGACUAAAAAAAUUACAAGUAAGGAUCCAUUGCACUCACAUUUCUAGAAAGGGACUAACUUGAGAUUUCCGAACCAAAGUGGGGACAAAAUUGAGUAUUAUGCCUUUUUUUUCUCAGA